rnacentral:rRNA from 1 species
GAUGAACGCUGGCGGCGUGCCUAAUACAUGCAAGUCGAGCGAACGGACGAGAAGCUUGCUUCUCUGAUGUUAGCGGCGGACGGGUGAGUAACACGUGGAUAACCUACCUAUAAGACUGGGAUAACUUCGGGAAACCGGAGCUAAUACCGGAUAAUAUUUUGAACCGCAUGGUUCAAAAGUGAAAGACGGUCUUGCUGUCACUUAUAGAUGGAUCCGCGCUGCAUUAGCUAGUUGGUAAGGUAACGGCUUACCAAGGCAACGAUGCAUAGCCGACCUGAGAGGGUGAUCGGCCACACUGGAACUGAGACACGGUCCAGACUCCUACGGGAGGCAGCAGUAGGGAAUCUUCCGCAAUGGGCGAAAGCCUGACGGAGCAACGCCGCGUGAGUGAUGAAGGUCUUCGGAUCGUAAAACUCUGUUAUUAGGGAAGAACAUAUGUGUAAGUAACUGUGCACAUCUUGACGGUACCUAAUCAGAAAGCCACGGCUAACUACGUGCCAGCAGCCGCGGUAAUACGUAGGUGGCAAGCGUUAUCCGGAAUUAUUGGGCGUAAAGCGCGCGUAGGCGGUUUUUUAAGUCUGAUGUGAAAGCCCACGGCUCAACCGUGGAGGGUCAUUGGAAACUGGAAAACUUGAGUGCAGAAGAGGAAAGUGGAAUUCCAUGUGUAGCGGUGAAAUGCGCAGAGAUAUGGAGGAACACCAGUGGCGAAGGCGACUUUCUGGUCUGUAACUGACGCUGAUGUGCGAAAGCGUGGGGAUCAAACAGGAUUAGAUACCCUGGUAGUCCACGCCGUAAACGAUGAGUGCUAAGUGUUAGGGGGUUUCCGCCCCUUAGUGCUGCAGCUAACGCAUUAAGCACUCCGCCUGGGGAGUACGACCGCAAGGUUGAAACUCAAAGGAAUUGACGGGGACCUGCACAAGCGGUGGAGCAUGUGGUUUAAUUCGAAGCAACGCGAAGAACCUUACCAAAUCUUGACAUCCUUUGACAACUCUAGAGAUAGAGCUUUCCCCUUCGGGGGACAAAGUGACAGGUGGUGCAUGGUUGUCGUCAGCUCGUGUCGUGAGAUGUUGGGUUAAGUCCCGCAACGAGCGCAACCCUUAAGCUUAGUUGCCAUCAUUAAGUUGGGCACUCUAAGUUGACUGCCGGUGACAAACCGGAGGAAGGUGGGGAUGACGUCAAAUCAUCAUGCCCCUUAUGAUUUGGGCUACACACGUGCUACAAUGGACAAUACAAAGGGCAGCGAAACCGCGAGGUCAAGCAAAUCCCAUAAAGUUGUUCUCAGUUCGGAUUGUAGUCUGCAACUCGACUACAUGAAGCUGGAAUCGCUAGUAAUCGUAGAUCAGCAUGCUACGGUGAAUACGUUCCCGGGUCU